AGGGCAUGGCCAUUUCCCAAGGAAACUUGCAAACCCAGGGGAAAGUUAGACGCAAUGCUUUUUGAGUUUGAAGCGAAACCCAGAGCGUUUGAGAAGAAAUUCUGGGGCAUAUUUGCAAAAGGACAGCUGGAAUUAAAAGCCAUAGCUAGAGCAGGUUGCACUCCAGCCCAGCCCCCUUCGGCGCGCCCAGACGCUGCCUUCUCCUCGUGAAUUACAAUGGGCACAGUCCUCCGAUUGUGGCAUCAAAACCAUGGUUUGACCAUAAACACAAAACUUCAUCGAUUUCAGAGCAGCACUGAGGGGUGAGGACAAACAGCUACGGACUCAUUAACCAAGAGUAACAAGAUGUUUAGCUGGGCACAUGGCCACUCAAAAUGAAGACUUCAUUCUUGGCCUGCCUUGCAGGAAGAUAUGGCCACGUGACUGAGAUCUGGCCUAUGGAAUGUGAAUAGAAAUAUAUUGCACCUCCCCCUUUCUUCUUCUUCUGAUCAUUUUAUCCAGUUUCUUGGAACUUGGAUCGGCUGCUGAAACUCCAUCUCAUAUUAUGAGGGGAAAGGCCAUAGUCCACUAGAGUUACUGGUAUAGGAAGCUGGAAAAAGCCUGUGUCCCCAAGGAAUUUUUUGAGCAACGCUAUCAUGUCACUCCUGGAUUGACUGCCUACAAGACAUUUUUAAAUGUGAGAUAAAUAAACCUUCAUAUUUUUAAUCAACUAUUUUUUUCUUCUUUUACUUGAAGCAGUAUUUUAUUCUAACUAAAACAAAUUAAGAACUAAAAUUUAGUAAACCUAAGGUAUUUCAUUGCAUCAAAAAACUUAUGAAAUAAUUUAACACUGUAAUUAUCGAACAUAAAUAGAUAAGCUAACAAAAGGAUAUGUAGGAUGACAAAAUGAACUCAUCCAGCAGUUUCAAAAAUCAUGUCAGUCUUUAAUUUUUUAAAUUUGAACUAUGCUAUACAUAGAAUAUAAUAUACAUAAUUGCACAUGUACAAUUUUUAAAAAUUAGGAUGAAAUGAGCACCUAUAUGACCACUGCUAAAAUUAACAAAUAAAGCACCCACUCUCAGUAUCUUUAGAGCCUUCUGUGUACUCCUCACUAAUACAUCCCUCUCCUUGGUCUAUAUCCCAAAUGUAACUGCUUCCCCAGCUUUGUGUUAAUCAAUCACAUAUUCUGCAAUGUAUUUUUAUCUGCAAGUAACAUCAGAAAAGUUUGUUUAGAAUUCGUUGUUUUUUAGCAUGACAUAAAUUGAGUCAUAUCAGUGCUUUAAUUUUAAUAUUGAACGAGAAAAAAUACAACAUUGACUAAUUCAAGUUUGAUAUUCCCACGGAAUGUUUGGGCACCAUAGACCCACCAAAAGUUUUCCCAAGAAUGAAUGAGUCUUAAGAUUCCUUAAGAUCCCAGUUGCAACAUUCUUCAAAUAAUAGUUAUUGAUUAGUGUAAACAACUCCUCAUCUGCACUCUGAAUUAUAAGGGAUUUUGAUUUGAACCAUUUCGAUUGAGCCUAUAUAAAUUUGCUGUAAAUCAUGAGAGUAUGCUCUAAAGAUAUUUCAUCAUAGCUUAUAUAUCAUUUUUUUCUUUGUCAGAAUUGAAGGCAAGGCUGAAUAAUUAUAAUCAUGUUUAUAUUUAAAUCCAGAAAUAUUACUUUCUCUAUCAUUAUGAAACUAGUGGUUUAACAUGUUUAUUAAUGAUUUCACCCAAAAGACACUUCAAAACAGACAUUAUUGCUACUUGUUUAGUUUUAAUCUUCCAAGAUAAUGACAUAUAUGUUCUGCCAUAAUUUUUGUCUAAUUUUUGUACCCAUUUGUAUCUUUCUUAAUUGCCUAAUUAAAAGAGUGUAACGCAGGUUUUAUAAGUUGAAUUAUUGCUGAGAUACCUUAUGCUUACAAUAUUAUGUGUGUGUGUAUGAAUUUCUAAUCUGUGUCAGGUCAUAAUCAUUUCAGUUUCAAUGAGUUAGGAGUGACAGCUGCUUAGGAAACAACUUGUUUCUAUUAAAGCUAGCAUAUUUGUCAUUAGAGUAAGGAUCUCUUUGGCAGUUUAUUUUGUAUUGUUAAUAAUUAUCAUUAUUUUGACUAUAGGGCAUUUAAUUUCCACAUUUAACAUUUGGUACUGUUAUGUAAGCAACUGACUCAUAAAAUAAAAUCCAAACUGUCAACAUUUUUGCAAUCAUAGGGAGGACAAGUAAGCAAAUUAGAUGAAUACAAGACCUAAAUUAAGGGGCAUGUGAAUCAUACAGAAUUUAUUAAUAAGAAUGUGGAUGAACUAUAGCACUUCAUUCUAUAUUGAUGCUGAAUUAGAGUUCAUUUGACUUAUGGUAGUUACUAAAAUGUCCUUUUUCUUUUUUAUUAAAAAUGGGGAUAUCAACCA
rnacentral:lncRNA from 1 species